AGCGAACGCUGGCGGCAGGCCUAAUACAUGCAAGUCGAGCGCACCUUCGGGUGAGCGGCGGACGGGUGAGUAACGCGUGGGAACGUGCCCUUUGGUACGGGAUAACUGAGGGAAACUUCAGCUAAUACCGUAUGUGCCCUACGGGGGAAAGAUUUAUCGCCAUUGGAGCGGCCCGCGUUGGAUUAGCUAGUUGGUGAGGUAAAGGCUCACCAAGGCUACGAUCCAUAGCUGGUCUGAGAGGAUGAUCAGCCACACUGGGACUGAGACACGGCCCAGACUCCUACGGGAGGCAGCAGUAGGGAAUCUUGCGCAAUGGGCGAAAGCCUGACGCAGCCAUGCCGCGUGAAUGAUGAAGGUCUUAGGAUUGUAAAAUUCUUUCACCGGGGAAGAUAAUGACGGUACCCGGAGAAGAAGCCCCGGCUAACUUCGUGCCAGCAGCCGCAGUAAAAC
rnacentral:rRNA from 1 species